AUUGAACGCUGGCGGCAGGCCUAACACAUGCAAGUCGAGCGAGCGGCGGACGGGUGAGUAAUGUAUGGGUCCUGCCCGAUAGAGGGAGAUAACUACUGGAAACGGUGGCUAAUACCGCAUACUAUGGGAUACCCUAUAUGGGAUUAGCUAGUAGGUGGGGUAAAGGUUCACCUAGGCGACGCUCCCUAGCUGGUCUGAGAGGAUGAUCAGCCACACUGGGACUGAGACACGGCCCAGACUCCUACGGAGGCAGCAGUGGGGAAUAUUGCACAAUGGGCGCAAGCCUGAUGCAGCCAUGCCGCGUGUAUGAAGAAGGCCUUAGGGUUGUGAAGUACUUUCAGCCGGGAGGCGUUACCGACAGAAGAAGCACCGGCUAACUCCGUGCCAGCCGCCGCGGUAAUUC
rnacentral:rRNA from 1 species